AGCGAACGCUGGCGGCAGGCUUAACACAUGCAAGUCGAACGGACCUUUCGGGGUCAGCGGCGGACGGGUGAGUAACGCGUGGGAACGUGCCUUCCGGUUCGGAAUAACCCUGGGAAACUAGGGCUAAUACCGGAUACGCCCUUAUGGGGAAAGGUUUACUGCCGGAAGAUCGGCCCGCGUCUGAUUAGCUAGUUGGUGGGGUAACGGCCUACCAAGGCGACGAUCAGUAGCUGGUCUGAGAGGAUGAUCAGCCACACUGGGACUGAGACACGGCCCAGACUCCUACGGGAGGCAGCAGUGGGGAAUAUUGGACAAUGGGCGCAAGCCUGAUCCAGCCAUGCCGCGUGAGUGAUGAAGGCCUUAGGGUUGUAAAGCUCUUUUAUCCGGGACGAUAAUGACGGUACCGGAGGAAUAAGCCCCGGCUAACUUCGUG
rnacentral:rRNA from 1 species